rnacentral:rRNA from 1 species
CGAUACUUGGUGUGAAUUGCAGAAUUCAGUGAAUCAUCGAAUCUUUGAACGCACAUUGCGCCCGCCAGUAUUCUGGCGGGCAUGCCUGUUCGAGCGUCAUUUCAACCCUCAAGCUCAGCUUGGUGUUGGGACUCGCGGUAACCCGCGUUCCCCAAAUCGAUUGGCGGUCACGUCGAGCUUCCAUAGCGUAGUAAUCAUACACCUCGUUACUGGUAAUCGUCGCGGCCACGCCGUUAAACCCCAACUUCUGAAUGUUGACCUCGGAUCAGGUAGGAAUACCCGCUGAACUUAAGCAUAUCAAUAAGCGGAGGAA